rnacentral:antisense_RNA from 1 species
UGCUUCGGCGGGCGGUGCGUGGGGACUUUGAAGAGUCCGCCGGAGUGUUUUGUUGAUUGUUGUGAUCCGGUACGCCAACCCGCACCGCCCGCCACCCCG